GCUGUGGCUUUGGUGUAUGCUGCUGCAGACUCCUCCAAAGAUUCAGACACAUUGUUCACUGGUGAUAUAAAACACAACGGUUCUUGUUGUGACAAAAAACAUUCUCUGCACAAUUCUGGACCCAGGAUGGCACUCUGUCACUCACAGUGGAGGUCUCAAGGCUGCUGCAGAUCAUUGGCAGAACAGAGCCGAUUAAGCUACCUAAACAUGGAAGGCUACAAUUACAGUGAGAUAAUACAUAGUAUGUUUCAGUGAGCGCCCACUCAAUCCACUGACAGUAAAAAGAUAUUUAGAAUUUCAUAGCUGCUGCUUGCAGGCCCCAAAAUAAAGGACUACUGACAGUCAUAUUAACACACCAACCUUGGUUCAUGAUCAGUUAACUAACCAAAUAAAGGAAAUGCCAUUCCUUAUAGUCAUAGCCUCAUUUGUCCAAACCAAGUCAUGUCAUAUUCUUACAUUUGUAGUAUAUUAUUCCCUAAAAACAAGCAGAUGAUAAUUUGAAU